CUGGGGGAGAAAAUCCACUUGUGGGGGGAGAAAGUAGGUAUUUUGCGGGAGAAGAGGUCAUCCUUUGCGGAGAAAGUGUUAUCUUUUGAGGGAGAAAAGAGGUAUUGUGGUGGGGACAGUGUCGUAUUUGGAGAAGAAAAGGGGUAUUUGUGGGGAAACUGUCUUAUUGUCGUGAGAAGGGUGGUAUUUUGGUGGAGCAAAGGUGAUGUGUGGUGUAGAGAAGUGGCAUUUGGGGCUGUAGGCGUCUUAGUUUGGGGAGCGCAGUGGUAUGUGGGGGGAGAGAGUGUCUUCUUUUAGGGAGCACAGUGGUGUUUUGGGGAGAAAAGUCUGAUUUGGGGGUGAAGAGUGGUUUUGUGGUCGGGAAAAUGCCUUCUUUUCUUGACGAAAGUGAGAUUUUGGUCGAGAAAGU
rnacentral:lncRNA from 1 species